rnacentral:rRNA from 1 species
AACGAACGCUGGCGGCAGGCCUAACACAUGCAAGUCGAGCGAAGCCUUCGGGCUUAGCGGCGGACGGGUGAGUAACGCGUGGGAACGUGCCCUUUGGUACGGAAUAGCCCCGGGAAACUGGGAGUAAUACCGUACGUGGUCGAGAGACGAAAGAUUUAUCGCCAAAGGAUCGGCCCGCGUUGGAUUAGGUAGUUGGUGGGGUAAUGGCCUACCAAGCCGACGAUCCAUAGCUGGUCUGAGAGGAUGAUCAGCCACACUGGGACUGAGACACGGCCCAGACUCCUACGGGAGGCAGCAGUGGGGAAUCUUAGACAAUGGGGGAAACCCUGAUCUAGCCAUGCCGCGUGAUCGAUGAAGGCCUUAGGGUUGUAAAGAUCUUUCAGUGGGGAAGAUAAUGACUGUACCCACAGAAGAAGCCCCGGCUAACUCCGUGCCAGCCGCCGCCGUAAUAC